GUAGAGGGUCAGUUGGAAUUCAGAGCA
rnacentral:piRNA from 1 species